GCAGCUGCUUAAACUCCACAGUGGAAGCUGCCGAAAGUUAUUAGCAUUAUGCUUCGAUCUCUCUGAAAUGGUGGCUUUGAUUUCUAUGCUGCUUUGCUUUUUAUAUGUGAUUUUAAAAUACUUUUAUUGUUAUUUUUUUCAACAGCGGAAGGUGACGAAUGACCGGGUGAGCCACCAGCCCAGGCAAUUAGGAUGGGGCUGCCUUUUUGAGCCUGGGGAGCAGCUGCUGCUGUGGCUUUGUAGCUUUGUGGCUGGUGUGAGGUGAGGCAGAGGGGCCAGUGGAGGAGAGCUGAGCUGCAGUGACGGUCAGGUCUGGGCCCCACUGUGCUCGGUUUGGGUCUAACUCGGUGCAGGUCAGCAAUUAAUGGCCUUAAAGGGCAACCCAGGGAUGGCCCCAAGGUGUUUGGCUGGAGUUCAGUUUGCAGUGGUCAGAGACAGGCACUUUUUGGACAAAUCAGUGAGCAACGAAUGGGGAAAUAGGGAUUUCAGUUUGGUGCUGGGGUGAAGAGGGGUUUAUUACCCAUUUGACUGCUUCCCAUUACCCCUUUGAAACCAUGGUGUGGUAUAAUGGGAGCAGUAACAACACCUCAGCCCCCAUGGGCAGGGCCCUUAGGGUCGGUGGGGUGACUCCCCUCUGCUGCUGUGUCACCCACUGGAGACAGCCAUGACUGUAUGGGGAAGGAGCAGUGCAUGGUGAGGCCACCUUGGCUUUGGGUCCCUCCAGACUGAUUUUUCCGGCCCAUUCACUGAGUUACACACACAUUCUUGUAUCUAUGUGGGCAGACAAUUCUAAUUUAUAUUAUUUGGCAUAACGAAGCGCUACUGGGGAGCUAGGGUUUGGAGCACUGCUUGGGUCCCAGAACAAAUGUGGUCAGUGGGAUUUUGGAAGCACUCUGGCCCAGAGUCCUUGCAUGGCUGUGCUGGUUGACUUUGGCAGGGCUAAUGUUGCCGUUUUUAACCUGAUUUGAAGAGCAGGUUUCUGACCUGCUCCUAAAGCUGUUUGAAACCUGGCCCCACUGCAGAGCAAGCGGCAGGGCACCGUGGCAGGAGCUGAACAGAGUGCCUCGAUGGCAAUCAAACUGGCUUAUGUAAUUCUAAAAAUGGCAACUCCUUACUUGCCACAUCUCUUUCUGUUCUAUGCGGAGAGUCCUGCAGAGCUGCCAAACAGAAGCAAUUGAAUGAACUCUUUUCCCGGCUCAUUCCUCCUUCCGCAGCUCGGAGAAAGUGAGCCAGAGCCUAUUCUAGUUUGCCUGUCAACAGGAAUGGUAACUAACGGCUCGAUCCCAGCCAGGCUUUAUGCCCCAAAAACACUGCCUGCCUGUGAGGAGCGGAGAGAGAGACAUCAUGGGUGAAGUCUAGCUCCUGGUGCGAGACUGGUCUGGCCCAGGAGGCAGUCAAGGAGUUGGCAGAGUCCACAUCGUGCCCGAAGGCAAGCAGGAGAUUGUUGAAGGGAUGUCCCCAUCCACUGCAGAGCAGGACUUCAUGGACUGCAAGGUCCCGAGGUGACAGUGACAGCAACACAUUGCCUCCUUCCUCCGGAGCACGUGGUACCAGGUGGGCUGCAGCAUCCCUGUCCCUGGUGGUGGUGGUGAAGUUGAAGAGAACUUGGCAGGACUCCCAGAUUGACUGGUGAACCUGCUGGUGUGCCACUUGGGCACAAGAAAAGUGCUGAUUUCACUGCAGAAGACAUGAGGUAGAAGAACCACUAAAAAACCCUCCCAACAAUCAGAGCCCAAACUAAAAAUCCAGACCUUGUUAGUGCUGGAAAAAACUUUAACGCACAACCCAAGUAUUCCCUGAAUGUUCAAGAACACCCACAAAUUCUGUAAAAAUAGCUGAUAAUUUAUUUAUUUGAUUUAUUUAUGAGCCUGGCUUGUGAUUUUGGGGUGGUGGUGGGGCUGGAGUUAGUGGUGCUGAUGAAAAACCGAUUUAGAGACAGUCCUAGGCGAGACAUCAGCUUUGGGGAGCAGGGCUCAGGCUCUUCCUCACGAAACACAGGGCAUUGUAGGACCCACUAAGGUGUCUCAGACCUCUUGAGUGAGGAGGACCCCACUGCGGUAACUGUUUCUUCCUAGGGAGCUAUAGGCUUUUGGCCUUACAGUUCAUGGAUGAGGCUGGUGUGCCAUGGCCAGUAUAUGUUGGAGGGACUGGCUCAUCUCUUCCUGCUUACACACCUGGGUUGACCAAGGGUAGAUGUGUUGUGGUGAGCAUUAGCUGCCCCUCAUCCUUCCCAUCUCUAUUGGGCUGUGCUACUGGAUGACCCCCAGUACUGGUGAACCUGACUAUGGGAUAUAUUCUUGUCCCUUAUGUGAGGGUCUGAUGGGUGCUGCCUCUGAUGUCCAUCGCAAAACCAAACCAUUGAUCUCUGCUGCUUUAGGUGGAUAGAAUAAAACCCCCUUCCCUGUUCCCAGAGUUCACCACCACGUUCACUUCAAGCCUUUGAGCUAUUUCUCUCCUCCUUUCUCCCUUCCAGUGCAUGCUUCUCCUCUCCAGCUGACAGCCUGGGACAGCCCCCCGAGAUCAGCUGCUUGUGGAGCUCUCUCUGCCGAAAGCAGUCCUAAACGGUGUGGCCUUUGUUCCCCCCCAGCUGUCGUAUCCUCCGGGAUCUGCAACAAGUCCUCGUUUUACAGACCCCGUCUUGACAGUCCCCAAUCUGAUCUGACCACCUGGUUUGUUUUUGAAUCGAGCUCUUGAGUCAUAACAUUUCUGUUUAUUUCAACAACUGUAUUCCUUGCAUAGGAAAUGAGCCAAGAUGGUCUAAGGCGGGGAGAGCGAAGCAUGUCGUGGUUGUAAUUGCUUUUGCUCUUCCCAUAUACAAUUUUACAGUAUAAUCAAAAUCUUAUUUUUGUACUGCUGGACUCUGUUAUUGACUUAAUCUUCUUAAGUGCUCCUAUUAUUCCAGUGAUUUCAUCGUUGCAUGUUGAUUUUAAUCUUUUGAUCUCCAUAUUAGCUACUGCCUGCAACUAAUUUGUUGCUCAGUGUUUUUCUUUGUUUUGACCUGCGAGGCAUUUUCCUCAUGGCACACAACUCUGCUGGCAGAUUGCAUAUAAUCUCUGCACUUUUUUUCCUCCCAUAUUUUGCAUAGUUACAACAAAUGCAGAUUUACAACUUGAAAUGGAAUAUGUAUCUUUUAGAAAGGCUGAGGAAAAUAUCACUUCAGGUUUUUUAGCUCAAAGAGCCUAAAUGUGCUUGAAUAAAGGAAAUGCCGCUAGACACAGCUCACCAGUGAGAGGCGUCAUGCAGGCUUUUUAGUCCAGCAAGUUCAGAAUGGGGAGUAACCACACUUAUUGUAACUUAUAUUAUAUGCAGUCAGAGAUCAAAGAGGUUCUGAAAGCAUUGCUAGACCCAAGGUGAAGAAGGUUGGGUUUGGUGAGUGGCUGAAGGGACUCUCCUAGCUGGACUCCAUGCAGUGGUGGCUCUGCUGCAUUGUGACACCAUGGGGCAGGCUUUUGUGCCAACAUUGGUGAUGGUGGUUGUGGUAGUGCAGAGUUGUGAACUUUGAAGUGCAGAGGUUCAAAUGUGGCUCAGCUGCAUUUUGGUUGGCCAAUAGAUGACUUCUUUUUGCCUUGGUAGUUGAUGGUUUAACCUGUGCUGAUUUAUGAGUCCCUUUGUUUGCUUUAGCUUUUCCUUUUAAAGCUCAGAGAGGAGAUUUUUGCCUUAGGUUUGCUGUGAGUCUUUUAAAAAGAACACAGCCUGAACAUUGACAAAAUCAUCCUUGCUUUACUGCAUGGCUGUUUAUGCUUCUGAACACAAAUUGUCUUCUAAUAUUUUUGAC